rnacentral:rRNA from 1 species
UACAGAGGUCUCAAGCGUUGUUCGGAUUCAUUGGGCGUAAAGGGUGCGUAGGCGGCGGGGCAAGUCAGGUGUGAAAUCUCGGGGCUCAACUCCGAAACUGCAUUUGAUACUGCCUUGCUAGAGUACUGGAGAGGAGAUUGGAAUUUACGGUGUAGCAGUGAAAUGCGUAGAUAUCGUAAGGAAGACCAGUGGCGAAGGCGGAUCUCUGGACAGUUACUGACACUGAGGCACGAAGGCCAGGGAGCAAACGGG